rnacentral:lncRNA from 1 species
GGCUAGGGCUUUUCUUCUCUAUCAUGCCUCCUCCUCCUCCCACCUUCUCUUGGUCAAAGAUGCUGGCUCCAAUAGGUAAGCGUGAUUAAUUAUUUUGAUUUCAAAUGAAAAAAAAAUGCCCAAGACUCAGUUUGAAAAUCGAAAGCUUGAUAUCUAGUGGGUUCGGGCCUAAAAAAGAGGUCCGAAGGCUCGGCUAAGCUAGGCUCGAGCCUAGAAACUUCUAUCUGUCCUUGAGUUGAGCUCGGCCC